AUUUCUGAUUUUAAGAAAAAUGGUCCUAAAGGAAUCUGAUUGAUGCAAGCCUCACCUGUCUCCUCUUUCAGAAGGUAAGUCGGCCGAUUAAAGUGAUCCUGGGGGAGGGCGCGACUUUCUUUUGUUCCUUCGCAGAGAACAAACGUACAAUGGUUCAAGGCUUUAAGCCAGGGUACCCCUUAUAGCCUUAAUCAUUGCUUGUCUUCGGCUGUCUGUUGCUUAGCAAACAGAAUCAACACAGGAGCUCUUUAAAACCUGUUUAAGCACCAACCACAUCGAAAAGUAGGCUGCCGACUUGGCGUUUAUUUCUUUGUGGAACAAAUGCAGUGAAACUUCAACUCCCUCGGCACGGCCACGUAAAUUAAAAUACUGACGAAUUAAACUGACAUCACUGAUCAGGCGCUGCCUUGCUUAAAGAAGAAAUGACAUCUUCAGCACCCCGGUCUAGCUACGGAAAAGAGGUAUUCAAAAAACGGUGGUUUGACACCGAAGACUGGGAGCUUCUUCAGAGACCCUUGGACCCGUACGAGUUUGAGAGGAUUCGGAGGGUUGCCAGAUCGUCGUGGGAAGCUGACACCCGAAAACGGCUAGAGAGUUUUACUACCUAUAGGGGACAGCAUUGCACCAAAACACUGGACGAGCCAACGCAGUGCAGGGUCAGGCCGAGCUCUCCAACUCGCAUGGAGAAGCCCCAUCCGUCGGAAGUUUUUUUAGUGACCAAGCUACAUACUGUUUCGGGAUACUUUAAUUCUGUGGACCACCAUGCUGUUGGGAAUGCCAGAGGAGGAAGUAAUAGUUAUACCGAACCAAGUACCAGCUUCAGAAGCCCUCUAAAAAAACAGCGAGACGGAAACGGAGAGGUACUUGAGAUGGUGUUCUGCAGCUCACAGCUGGCUCAGGCAGCUAGGGCCUGGAUGAAUCUUGCUCCAGAAGCUGAGAGCAAAGCUGUCCAGGAUUUGGCUGUGAGCAUGUUUCAGGAGCGUGGGAGCUCACUAAAAGAAGGCUCUCCUGCACACAGCUACAUCAGCCAGGCCAUGUCCAAACACAUCAGACCAGAGUGCAUUGUGCCAAUGAACCAGUGGCUCAGGAGGGCAGGGAAAGAAGAAACUGCGGCUGUGGCGAGCCUGUUAAAAACCCUGUCCACAGACCCUCAGAGAGCACAGCGGAGGGGCCCGGGCCAGCGCGAGGCACUGGGACACAGAGCCUCCGACUUCCAGAUCCACCCAGAAUGGGUGACUCAGCCCUGGCACAGUCAGUACCGGCACUCACAGGAAAGUGUGGGGAAACACGUCAAUCAGCAACCAUGA
rnacentral:lncRNA from 1 species